GAUGAACGCUGGCGGCGUGCUUAACACAUGCAAGUCGAACGAGAAAUGGAGACGGAAACCUUCGGGCGGAAGGCUUCAUUUCGAGUGGCGGACGGGUGAGUAACGCGUGGGUAACCUGCCUCAUACAGGGGGAUAACAGUUGGAAACGACUGUUAAUACCGCAUAAGACCACAGCACCGCAUGGUGCGGGGGUAAAAACUCCGGUGGUAUGAGAUGGACCCGCGUUCGAUUAGCCAGUUGGCGGGGUAACGGCCCACCAAAGCGACGAUCGAUAGCCGAUCUGAGAGGAUGACCGGCCACAUUGGGACUGAGACACGGCCCAAACUCCUACGGGAGGCAGCAGUGGGGAAUAUUGCACAAUGGGGGAAACCCUGAUGCAGCGACGCCGCGUGAGUGAAGAAGUACUUCGGUAUGUAAAGCUCUAUCAGCAGGGAAGAAAAUGACGGUACCUGAGUAAGAAGCCCCGGCUAACUACG
rnacentral:rRNA from 1 species